UCUCAGUUCUGCGCUUGUAAAUGGAAGCAAUUUUCAAGACAUUAUGCCUGGUUCGAAUAGGAAGAGUCGCUAUAAUCUUAAAAGACUGAAGGGUACCUAUGUCUUUUCCUUCUUCUUUCUCCUCCUCUCCCUUUCUCUUCAUCCUUCUCAGAGUUAAAAAUGGAAACUCUGGUAAUUUUUAAAGAUUACUCGCUGAGGUUGUGAUUUCCUAUCACGUGCUACGCAUCUCUAAGACCCCGGUAUAGGAGCCUAGGCAUAAGGCUGUCAUUUACAAGGAGUAGCAGAAUUCCAUUUGCCUAGGGACCAAUAGAUUAGAUUUGAUCCGUCUUGGGGAUGCUAGACUCAAUGGACUUUCCAGCACCACAGCGCGAAGUUGAGGGGCUGCAUGUGUGAGUGCAUGCUGUAAAUUGUGUGUGUGUGUGUGUGUGCCCGCGCGCGCGCCCGCGCUCUCGCAUGUGAGCACGAGUGAGUGUGUGUGUGUGUGUGUGUGUGUGUGUGUCCGCGAGCGCGUGCGCGAGUAUGCGCGCUACUGAGUGUGUCUGGCUGGGUUAGUAGGGUUGGCUGGGGCGGGCAGUAAAUAAAGGGUGGGGCCAAGAGAGGAGGAGGGAAAGCGGGACUGUGAAAGAAGCAAAAGCCUGGGUUGUAUCACAGUAAACCCGCUGGAGCUCAUCCUGUUUGGUUGGAGCUCUGCACCAACUCCCCCAGUUCCCUCUCUCCUUGGGUGUCUUCUUCCCUCCUUUUCUCCCUUUUCCUCACUGCACCCUGAAUCCACUACCCAUUUCCCCCACCCAUCACUUCUGCAUCUGACCAGAGGACGAAUGAGUGAGACGUUCCAGCAAAUCGAGGCAGCAACUUUCCUCAGCUGGUCUCUGGGCUCCAGGAGCGAAAUCCUGCUGAUUCUUGGAGGUAUGCAGCCCAUGGAGGAGGAAGAGGACGAGCAGUGAUGGGCUAACGACCCGUGCAAGAAGCCCCAAGCAGCUCAGUCUCGGACGCCCGCUUCACGCUUGUUCCCUCCACCUCGCUCUCCUGAGAGCAGAGAGCGCGCGGUGUGCAGACUCGGAACAUCCAGGGAGGAUGAGGCGGGGACCCAGCCCAAGUUGGGUGCAUCUUGCGGGCGUGAGGCCACGACUGUGUUUCGGCAUGAAUUAAGAAGCUUGAAAGAUGGAGCGCGGCACAGUCCUUAUCCAACCCGGGCUCUGGACCAGGGACACCAGCUGGACACUCCUCUAUUUCCUGUGCUACAUCCUUCCUCAGACCUCCCCUCAAGUGCUCAGGAUCGGAGGGAUUUUUGAAACUGUGGAAAACGAACCUGUUAAUGUUGAAGAAUUAGCUUUCAAGUUUGCAGUCACCAGUAUUAACCGAAACCGAACCUUGAUGCCCAAUACCACAUUAACCUAUGACAUCCAGAGAAUUAAUCUUUUUGAUAGUUUUGAAGCCUCCCGAAGAGCAUGCGACCAACUGGCUCUUGGGGUGGCCGCCCUCUUCGGUCCUUCCCACAGCUCCUCCGUCAGUGCUGUACAGUCUAUUUGCAAUGCUCUGGAAGUUCCACACAUUCAGACUCGCUGGAAACACCCUUCUGUGGACAACAGAGACUUAUUUUACAUCAACCUCUACCCAGAUUAUGCAGCUAUCAGCAGGGCAGUCCUGGAUCUGGUCCUCUAUUACAACUGGAAAACAGUGACGGUGGUGUACGAAGACAGCACAGGUCUAAUUCGUCUGCAAGAGCUCAUCAAAGCUCCCUCCAGAUACAACAUCAAAAUCAAAAUCCGCCAGCUUCCCUCUGGCAAUAAGGAUGCCAAACCUCUGCUCAAGGAGAUGAAGAAAGGCAAGGAGUUCUAUGUGAUAUUUGAUUGUUCGCACGAGACGGCUGCUGAAAUUCUUAAGCAGAUUUUGUUCAUGGGCAUGAUGACUGAAUACUAUCACUACUUCUUCACAACCCUGGACUUGUUUGCUUUGGAUCUGGAACUCUACAGGUACAGUGGUGUAAAUAUGACUGGAUUUCGGUUGCUGAAUAUUGACAACCCUCACGUGUCAUCCAUCAUUGAGAAGUGGUCCAUGGAGAGAUUGCAGGCCCCACCCAGACCUGAGACUGGUCUCCUGGACGGCGUGAUGACAACUGAAGCAGCUCUGAUGUACGAUGCUGUGUACAUGGUAGCCAUCGCCUCUCACCGUGCCUCUCAGCUGACCGUCAGUUCCCUGCAGUGCCAUCGACAUAAGCCAUGGCGCCUAGGACCCAGAUUUAUGAACCUCAUCAAAGAGGCGCGGUGGGAUGGCUUGACGGGGCGGAUCACCUUCAAUAAGACGGAUGGCUUGAGAAAGGAUUUUGACCUGGACAUUAUCAGUCUCAAAGAGGAAGGAACUGAAAAGGCCUCUGGUGAAGUGUCUAAGCACUUGUAUAAAGUGUGGAAGAAGAUUGGGAUUUGGAACUCCAACAGUGGGCUGAACAUGACGGAUGGCAACAGAGACAGGUCCAACAAUAUCACAGAUUCGCUGGCUAACCGAACGCUCAUUGUCACCACUAUUCUGGAAGAGCCCUACGUGAUGUACAGGAAAUCCGAUAAACCACUGUACGGAAAUGACAGAUUUGAAGGAUAUUGCCUGGAUCUGCUGAAAGAACUGUCAAAUAUCCUAGGUUUCCUUUAUGAUGUUAAACUGGUUCCUGACGGCAAAUAUGGAGCCCAGAAUGACAAAGGGGAGUGGAACGGGAUGGUUAAGGAACUCAUCGACCACAGAGCUGACCUAGCAGUGGCCCCUCUCACCAUCACGUAUGUACGGGAGAAAGUCAUUGACUUCUCCAAGCCUUUCAUGACUCUGGGCAUUAGCAUCCUUUACCGGAAGCCCAAUGGAACCAACCCCGGCGUCUUCUCCUUCCUCAACCCCCUGUCUCCAGACAUUUGGAUGUAUGUGCUCCUCGCUUGCCUAGGAGUCAGUUGUGUGCUUUUUGUGAUUGCAAGGUUCACACCCUACGAGUGGUAUAACCCCCACCCGUGCAACCCUGACUCAGACGUGGUGGAAAACAAUUUCACUUUGCUAAAUAGUUUCUGGUUUGGCGUUGGAGCUCUCAUGCAGCAAGGAUCGGAGCUGAUGCCCAAGGCUCUAUCGACCAGAAUAGUUGGAGGAAUAUGGUGGUUUUUCACCCUAAUCAUCAUCUCAUCCUACACUGCCAACCUGGCUGCCUUCUUGACAGUAGAAAGGAUGGAAUCCCCCAUCGAUUCCGCAGACGACCUGGCCAAACAAACCAAGAUAGAAUACGGGGCAGUCAGAGAUGGCUCGACAAUGACCUUCUUCAAGAAAUCAAAAAUCUCCACGUAUGAGAAAAUGUGGGCUUUCAUGAGCAGUAGACAGCAGAGCGCCCUGGUUAAAAACAGCGAUGAGGGGAUCCAAAGGGUGCUUACCACCGACUACGCCCUGCUGAUGGAGUCCACCAGCAUUGAGUAUGUGACACAGAGGAACUGCAACCUCACUCAGAUCGGGGGCCUCAUAGACUCCAAAGGCUAUGGAGUGGGGACACCUAUCGGCUCCCCUUACCGGGAUAAAAUUACAAUUGCUAUUCUUCAACUACAAGAAGAAGGGAAGCUUCAUAUGAUGAAAGAGAAAUGGUGGAGGGGAAAUGGCUGCCCUGAAGAAGACAGUAAAGAAGCCAGUGCUCUAGGAGUGGAAAAUAUCGGGGGUAUCUUCAUUGUUCUGGCUGCAGGACUCGUCCUUUCUGUGUUUGUAGCCAUUGGAGAAUUCAUAUACAAAUCACGGAAGAACAAUGACAUUGAGCAGAAAGGAAAGUCAUCAAGACUUAGAUUUUAUUUUAGGAACAAAGUAAGGUUUCAUGGGAGCAAAACAGAAAGCCUUGGUGUAGAGAAGGUUUGUUCAUUUUCUAUAGCAUUACUGAAGUGUCGUAUGCCUUGAUAACCCUAUCAAUGUUUGGAUCAUCUCAGUGGGGGAAAUGCCUUAAUUUAACUCUAUUUUGCUGUCUCAGCAAAGGUAAGUUGUCUAUUUUGAGAGCCUUGAGUUUUGUUGGGUUUGGUUGGGUUUUGUUUUUUUGUUUUUUUUUUUUCUGAACUGGGAAAUUCUAUACUGGUGUAUAUUUAUUGUCAAUAAAGUAUAGUUUCCUGAGCUAACUUACUGCCUCAGUUUCCUUAAGUAUAAAAUACAGGUGGCCAUUAGUUAUGGACCUGCUUAAAACAGUAACUUAUGUUCUUCAAACAGUAGACAAGAGAUACAAGUCAAUGCAGGUUGGUCAUGGGUCCCAGGACACUGACCCUCUCUCUUAUUUUGUGCUCUCUAGUGUCUCUCUUUCAAUGCCAUCAUGGAAGAGCUGGGAAUCUCACUCAAGAAUCAGAAAAAAUUAAAGAAAAAGUCAAGAACUAAGGGCAAAUCUUCUUUCACAAGUAUCCUUACUUGUCAUCAGAGACGAACUCAGAGAAAAGAGACUGUGGCGUGACCCAAGAACACGCCUGUAAAGAAGAAAAAGGCCAUGCCCAUGACACAUAUUUGGAGGACAGAUUUCUGAGGAACAGGAGAUAUGUUUCCACAUAUCUUUAUCCAUAACUCCAGUCAUGGAUAGAGGGAGAAGAAAUGCACAAUUUUUAAAGCUCACAUAGAUAUUACUUGAGGAGUGAAACUGAUUCUUUUCAGAUGAAUUUGUAUGCACAAUUAUUUUGAAUUUUUUCUUUUCCUCCAAUAAAUUGCUAUGUGUGCUUUCUAAAUAAUAAUAAACAAGCGGAUUUUGUUUUUC